rnacentral:rRNA from 1 species
GCUAGUUGGUGAGGUAACGGCCCACCAAGGCGAUGAUGGGUAGCCGGCCUGAGAGGGUGUACGGCCACACUGGGACUGAGAUACGGCCCAGACUCCUACGGGAGGCAGCAGCUAAGAAUAUUCCGCAAUGGACGAAAGUCUGACGGAGCGACGCCGCGUGGAUGAAGAAGGCCGAAAGGUUGUAAAAUCCUUUUGUCGGGGAAGAAUAAGCGUGGGAGGGAAUGCCCGCGUGAUGACAUGAACCGGCGAAUAUGCCCCGGCUAACUACGUGCCAGCAGCCGCGGUAACACGUAGGGGGCGAGCGUUGUUCGGAAUUACUGGGCGUAAAGGGCAUGUAGGCGGUUUUGUAAGCCUGGCGUGAAAUUCUGCAGCUUAACUGUAGGACUGCGCUGGGAACUGCGAGACUGGAGUCACGGAGAGGGAGCCAGAAUUCCAGGUGUAGGGGUGAAAUCUGUAGAUAUCUGGAAGAAUACCAAUGGCGAAGGCAGGCUUCUGGCCGAUGACUGACGCUGAGGUGCGAAAGCGUGGGUAGCAAACAGGAUUAGAUACCCUGGUAGUCCACGCGGUAAACGAUGCACACUAGGUGCCGGGGCGGACGCUUCGGUGCCGGAGCCAACGUGGUAAGU